rfam:Mesocricetus auratus contig146153, whole genome shotgun sequence.
GGGAAUGUAGCUUGGUGGUAGAGUGCAUAUUUAGCACUCUUAAGGCCAUGGGUUCAAUUCCUAGCAUACCCU